GUAACGGCGUGGGUGCCGGUGCCUGGAGCGGCAGAGGUGAGAGAGAGAAAGAAGUCCGGAAGGAACCUUUCGGUAGUGGCCAGACCGGGCCGAGGAGCCAGGGCAGGCCUAGGAGCCAGGGCGGGCCGAGGAGCCAGGGCGGGCCGAGGAGCCAGGGCGGGCCGAGGAGCCAGGAGAGCAGACACCAGCCGCGGCGGUUGGAAAAGACGCACCGUAAUCAACGAAAGCUUGUGAGGUUAGGAAAGGAAAAGGAGCGACGUUUCAGUGAAAAGAGAAAGGGAGCACAGAAGUAAUGGGAUACAACAGGAAAUGGGUCUCACAGGCAUUGCUGAUCCCGCUAAGGCAGCUCGUAAAUGGGAGAACCUUAAAAUAAUAUUCAAGGACCUUGUGAAGCCACCAACUGGAGUUGGUUCAGAGGGAGGGGAGUAAACUGUGGACACUUCUAAGUGGUUCCCACUGAUGGAUGAAGUACUUGGUAACAAACCAUCAAUCCGUCCAAAACAUCUUGGGGCAAGUCUGUGGGAAAAUAUAGGACCGCCACUUCCAAGGACCAAGUCCUAACUCCUGAGGAAAUGGCUGAGGGUGAAUCUUUGGAGCCAGAGACAGGGAGCCAGUGAAAUAAGAGGAGGAAAGUAGACCCAGUUCUGGAAUUUUUUUGAGAGAGAGAAGGCGAGGGCAGAUGAACAAAAGAAAAGAAAGAUGGAGUGAGAUGAGAGGUUAUUUGGUUUCUCUGAAAAAAUGAUGAACUAAUUUAGCUUAUAAUGUACAGUACAUGUUUCACAAAGUAGAAAAUUAUUAGUAGUAGUUGUGGUCUAGGAAAACAUCAACAACAGAAACAGGUGCAGAAACAGCAGCUGCUAGCUGACUUCUGAAGAGAUUUCCAUCCUGGAUAUCAGGUAGCUCAAACAAAGGUGUUUCAUCAUCUGGCCUCAUGACACAGGAUGAGACAGGAUGUCUCUUUUAAUGAUACAGAUAGGAUGGUACAACAGCUUACCAUGAUGUGCGCAAAUGUUGGCUUUACUUUAAGAACUUAGGUGAAAAUGGAUCGCCAUCAUUAUUCCAAAAGACCUCUCUCAAUGAUGUUUCGAGCUCUUGAAUGGUGAUAUUUUACGCAAGCUUUCUCCGGAUCCCUCACUAAUCCAGGUCAGCCAACAUAGAUGUCGAGAAAUCUGUGCUUGUGGUCACAUAUAGCCUGUAGCUGUAUGGAGUGAAACAGCUUUCUGUUUAUGUAGCAGUUGCAGUCUUCUGUUGGUGGCUUAAUUCUGAUUUGACAGCCAUCAAUAGCUCCAACAGCAGCUUUAAACACAGGUGACCCUGUAAGCCCAGGCCUGUUUCCUCCAUCUUCUCAGCAGGUGGCAGAUGGAUAAUUCCAUUUUCAAGCUGUUUAAUUUUGUGGGCUACCCUGUGUAUGAUGACACUGACAGUUAAACAAGGGAUGUCAAAAGCUUUGCCCACAACUCUGUAUGGUAAUGUGCUCGCUAACCAAAACAGGCACACAAGAACCAAAUAAAUUUUUUUGGCCCCAGCCAUGGUCAUAUUGGUCUCUCGGAUGGUUGCAAAGACUGUAGAGUUCCCCCUGAGAGACGGUAAUCAUGAUGUGUCAAAGUUGUCCUCCAAAAGUACAAAAGUCCAAGAGCAGGCAUAUAGGGGUUUUCCUUUUUAAAACAAAAUUUAUAUAUAAAAAAAAAUUAUACAUUACAGAAACUGCGCCUCCUACUACAUUGGUUAGAUUACAGAAUCUGACUAAAGUGUUUGUACACUCUGACAAUCUGAGGAAAAACUCUAUUUACAUGAAUGUACUAUGUAAAAGUAAUACGGCUCAAAAUGACACACAUGUAGACUACUACUGAUUUUUUCUGUAUAUUUAUUUUAAUUUUUUUAACUACAUACCAGUCCCACCACAAAUGACAAAAAUCUCCGGAAAUUUAUGGUGAAGGUAACUAAAAAAAUCUAGCUCAAGACCAGCUGUCAUCCAGGAAAAAUACCUUAUACGGGUCAAUAAAUAAAAAAUAAUGAGCCGUAUGUUCGUUUUAUAGACACAAAGGAAAAAACAGAUAUUCUGACUGAAUUCCCAUUAAUGUUGUCGUGUGUUUAAAUAAAAAAACAAAAAAAUGA